rnacentral:rRNA from 2 species
ACGUGAGCUGGGUUUAGACCGUCGUGAGACAGGUUAGUUUUACCCUACUGAUGAAUGUUAUCGCAAUAGUAAUUGAACUUAGUACGAGAGGAACCGUUCAUUCGGAUAAUUGGUUUUUGCGGCUGUCUGAUCAGGCAACGCCGCGAAGCUACCAUCCGCUGGAUUAUGGCUGAACGCCUCUAAGUCAGAAUCCAUGCUAGAAAGCGAUGAUUUUUGCCUCGCACAUUUUAGUUGGAUAAGAAUAAGGCUCUUUGAGUCGCUAAACCAUAGCAGGCUGGCAAUGGUACACUUAACGGAAAGGUUUUGUGUG